GAUGAAGAACGCAGCGAAAGCGCGAAACGUAAUGUGAAUUGCAGAAUUCAGUGAAUCAUCGAAUCUUUGAACGCACAUUGCGCCCGCCAGUAUUCUGGCGGGCAUGCCUGUUCGAGCGUCAUUACAACCCUCAGGCCCCCGGGCCUGGCGUUGGGGACCGGCGGAAGCCCCCUGCGGGCACAACGCCGUCCCCCAAAUACAGUGGCGGUCCCGCCGCAGCUUCCAUUGCGUAGUAGCUAACACCUCGCAACUGGAGAGCGGCGCGGCCACGCCGUAAAACACCCAACUUCUGAAUGUUGACCUCGAAUCAGGUAGGAAUACCCGCUGAACUUAAGCAUAUCAAUAAGCGGAGGA
rnacentral:misc_RNA from 1 species